rnacentral:lncRNA from 14 species
ACAGAGACGGGCAGAGCAUUUUAAAAAUUUAUUUACAAAGUUGUGUACAACACGAAGGGAUAACAUUUAGAAUACAUAUAUUCAUUCAUAUAUAAACAGACUUCUAUAAUAGAAUGACAGCGUUUUUUCCUCCUUUUUUUUCUCUCCAAAAUUCUCUCUUUUUUUUUUUCUGUUCGUUCGUUUAAUAUUUAAAAUUUCCCCCGCUUAUUUCUUUUUUAUACAUUUUUUUUCCCUCGUUUGUUCGUUUAUUUCGGAUAAAACCGCUCGGAGCGCCAGAACCUUCAAAAAAAGUGAAAGUUCGCAGCUCCUAAUCGCGACCGUCAUUUUCGCCUCUUUAGAAAAAUAAAAACCCCGAAAGCAACGUCAGUGAUUUUUGAUACAAAUAUGUACAAGCGGCGGCGGCGGCGGCCGGUGCCCGCGGCUGCUGCUCCGGGUCCGGGCGGCCGCGGAGCCCCGAGGGGGCGGCCGGAGCUGCCCGGGGCGCUGCCCGGGGCUACUGCGCCGGCCACUUGGCCUGCACGGCGGCGGCGGGGGCCGCGGGCUGCAGGAACUGCCCCGCGAUGAUGUUGGUAGGCACGCUGAGGAUGGGGGCGAUGGCCGCGGUGGUCCUGGCCAGCGCCAGCGGCUGGUGGGCCAUGAGGGCCGACUGUACGGUGACCGGCGGCCGCAGGAAAGUCUGUGCGCUGGCGGCCGAGCUGGCGGCAGGCACGCCGAUGAUGUUCUCGAUGCUGAAGGACGGGCGGCUGCUGGGCUCCGACUUGACGAUGGAGCCGGCGGCGCCCAGGCUGUUGAGCUGCAGCUGCAGGCUGGGGCUGAGCUGGGAGUUGAAGGCUUUGCGGCUGAGCUCGCUGGACGGCAGCAGCGGCACGGCGGGCGGCAGCAUGGGCCCCACCGGGGGGAUGUAGGGGUACUGCAGCGCGGCCGCGGCCGCCGCGGGGUGCGUGUAGGCGCCGGGGUGCAGCCCGUAGGGGCGGCCGUAGGGUCCGGCCAGGCCGUAGGCACCGAAGCCCUGCAUCAUCAGCGCCGUCUGGUCCCGCAGGUGCUCCUGCUGGUGCCGCUUGAAGCGCUUCCUGCGGCGGAGGAAGCUGCCGUUGUCGAACAUGUCCUCGGACUGCGGGUCCAGCGUCCAGUAGUUGCCCUUGCCCGGGUUGCCGGGCUCCCGGGGGAUCUUGACGAAGCAGUCGUUGAGGGAGAGGUUGUGGCGGAUGCUGUUCUGCCAGGCGGGGAACUUCUCCCGGUAGUAGGGGAAGCGGUUGCUGAUGAACUCGCAGAUGCCGCUGAGCGUCAGCUUCUUCUGCGGGCUCUGCAGGAUGGCCAUGGUGAUGAGGGCGAUAUACGAGUAGGGCGGCUUCACCAGGCUGCUCUUGGGCUUGCUCUGCCCCGCUGCCCCGCCGCCGCCGCCGCUCGCCCCCUCCUCGCCGCCCCCCUUGCCGCCCUCGGCCGCGCCGCCGGGGCCGUCCCGGCCGGGCUCCCGCUGCCGCUGCUGCCGCUCUCCGCGCCCGCCUCCGCGGGCAGCGCCAGCUCCGCCGCCUCGUCCAGCGGCAGGCGCGGCAGGGCGGCGGGGCUGCCGGCCUCGCCCUCGCUGUCCUUGCCCGGCCCGUCGUCGCCCUCGCCCACCACGUCGAUAUCCACAUCCUCGGCCGCCGGGACGGCGGGGCCGGACAUGUCGCUGGCGCUGCCGCCGCCCGACAGGGUCAUCCCCGCUCGGCGGACGGGGCGCGGCGGCGGCGGCGGGGCCUCCCGCCCGCACCGGGCUCCCCCGCGCCCCGCUCCCGCCGCUCCUCCGACCGGCCCCGGGGG